rnacentral:rRNA from 1 species
UAGAGUUUGAUCCUGGCUCACAUUGAACGCUGGCGGCAUGCCUUACACAUGCAAGUCGAACGGCAGCACGGGCUUCGGCCUGGUGGCGAGUGGCGAACGGGUGAGUAAUACANNNGAACGUGCCCUGUAGUGGGGGAUAACUAGUCGAAAGAUUAGCUAAUACCGCAUACGACCUGAGGGUGAAAGCGGGGGACCGCAAGGCCUCGCGCUACAGGAGCGGCCGAUGUCUGAUUAGCUAGUUGGUGGGGUAAAAGCCUACCAAGGCGACGAUCAGUAGCUGGUCUGAGAGGACGAUCAGCCACACUGGGACUGAGACACGGCCCAGACUCCUACGGGAGGCAGCAGUGGGGAAUUUUGGACAAUGGGGGCAACCCUGAUCCAGCAAUGCCGCGUGUGUGAAGAAGGCCUUCGGGUUGUAAAGCACUUUUGUCCGGAAAGAAAUGGCUCUGGUUAAUACCCGGGGUCGAUGACGGUACCGGAAGAAUAAGCACCGGCUAACUACGUGCCAGCAGCCGCGGUAAUACGUAGGGUGCGAGCGUUAAUCGGAAUUACUGGGCGUAAAGCGUGCGCAGGCGGUUUUGUAAGACAGGCGUGAAAUCCCCGAGCUCAACUUGGGAAUAGCGCUUGUGACUGCAAGGCUAGAGUAUGUCAGAGGGGGGUAGAAUUCCACGUGUAGCAGUGAAAUGCGUAGAGAUGUGGAGGAAUACCGAUGGCGAAGGCAGCCCCCUGGGACGUCACUGACGCUCAUGCACGAAAGCGUGGGGAGCAAACAG